GCUACAUAUAAUACAUGUCAAAUAUUUAUCUAAUACAUAUGCACAUACUACAUGCAUAUGCAUUUGUACAGGUGUGUUUUAGGCACCCAGGUCUCACUGCUUGCCAGAUAACAAAGUUCUUCCCUGUGGACCUCUACUUCCCCAUCUAUAAAAUGGGAGACUUCAUCCCCUUCAUCCCUGACCGUUUAUCUGAGUCUGUCUCAUGUAGAAGGUGGAGUAAAGUUGAUUGCGAAGCCGAGGAGGGCAGAUCGCUUGAGCUCAGGAAUUCGAGAUGAGCCUGGGCAACAUGGAGAAACACCAUCUCUACAAAAAAUAAAAAAGUUAGCGAGGUGUGGCGGUGCAUCUGUGGUCUCAGAGACUCAGGAGGCUGAGGCAGGAGGAUCACCUGAGCCCAGGGAGGUUGAGGCUGCAGUGAACCCUGAUGGUGCCACUGUACCCCAGCCUGGGUGAUGUGAGACCCUGUCGCAAAAAAAAAAAAAAAAAAAAAGCGGUGAAGUUGAGAAUGAGUAGCCCUGCCUAGAAUGAAAGCAUUUAUUGGAUACUUUCCUUUACACUCUCUAGACUGAGAUGCUUGGAGUGUUCUGGUAGUACCCAAGGUAGAAGGAAGCAUUACAAGUUUAAAAAUGGAGAAAUUAUGUUUUUAUGCAGCAGCUGGGCACCAGGCUAUGGAUUCAUCACUUUGUAGGCCACAUCUCCUGCCAAGCAAGCCACAUGCACCCUGUUUCCAGAUGAGAAUGUUGAGACAAGGUUGGUUAAAACACGCAGUUCUGAAGAGUUACUGUAACAGAUUCUGGAGUCUGUGCUCUGGAAGGGAGGAAUGGGGGUGGUCACUAACUCGAGGAGAGGGAAGCAUUUGUGCCUGAACAAUGAGAGUUGUUUUCAGAUGAAGAAAUCGGCACAUGUUGAGAGAACAAGACAAGCUUUUUAUCCGAGUGCUUGAUUUUCAUUACAAUGACAGGUGUCUCCAUGGCUUCGUGCUUGGAAGUGACUAAUUCUAAGGAGUCUUUCCUGUUGGUCAAGUCCUAGUCUCUGGGUUUGACUACUCAUUCAUUCAUUUGAUCUUUCAUUCAUUCAAUAAAUACCUAUCAAGCCUCAACUAUAUACUGUGCUCUGUGGAUAUAUUGAAUGCAAAAUCAGGCGUGGCCCUUGCCCUCAUAGAGCCUAGGAAAAGAGAUGGAAAUGAAAUCAAAGAACUAAAUAAAUACAUAUAGAGCAACAUGUGUGAUUAGGGCUUCCAAAGAGAGGUGAGCAAAGCAGAAAAUAGCACAUCAGAAGAUUGGCCUGGCCAUAGAAGCCAGGGAGGACGCUGGGCCGAGAUUCGAAGCCUGCAUAAGGGGGAUAAUUACGUCAGGUGUGGUGGCUCACGCCUGUAAUCCCAGCAGUUUGGGAGGCCGAGGCAGGCAGAUCACUUGAUCUGUCAGGAGUUAGAGACCAGCCUGGCCAACAUGGUGAAACCCUGCCUCUACUAAAACAAAAUUAGCCGGGCAUGGUGGUGUGCACCUGUAAUCCCAGCUACUUGGGAGGUUGAGACAAGAGAAUCACUUGAACCUGGGAGGUGGAGGUUGCAGUGAGCCAAGAUCAUGCCACUUCACUCCAGCCUGGAUGACAGAGCAAGAUUCCGUCUCUAAUAAUAAUAAUAAUAAUAAUAAUAAUAAUAAUAGGAAUAAUUAGGCAAACUGGGGGAAAAUAUGUUUCAGGAAAAGAAAACAGCAUAUGCCAGAGUCCUGUGGCUGGAGGACUCAUCAAGGGUACACAGGACAGAAAAAAAAGUUUAUAUACAUGGUAGGAAGCUAAAGAGACAAAGCAAGGGCUGGUCCACACAGGUCUUGUGAGUUAGUAAUUAGGAUUUGUAUCCAGAGGGUGAAGGGGAGCCAUGGCAGGUUUAAGCAGGAGGGUCUCAUGAUCAGAUUUGCAUUUUGAGAUCCCUCUGACUUCUGCAUGGGAUUUGUAGGGGGACAGAGGGAGUGCAGACAGACCUGUGAGAAGUGCUGCUGGGGUUGUGUGAACAAGAGAGGAUGCGGGCCUGGAUCAGGGGAUUGGUGAGAAGUGUGUGAAUUUAACAGAAAUUCAUUAGCUCAGAUGGGUGAUGGAAGUUCAGGAGAACUGCAUGAAGAACUCAUACACCCUUCUUUUGGGAUCUCCUUCAGGGCUGCCCUGCCAAGGCUCCCAGAUGCCCGCGGCCAUCACCAAUCAACUCCCCUGCUCGAGAUGGGGAGCAAAGAUUUGGUUUUAGGAAGCCACUAUUGUGGUGGACUGUGGCUCCCACCUGGGCCUGGCUUCCAGCCUGGAUUCCUCGCAGAGCCUGUCCAGGGCAGCCACAGGACGCAGGGACUCUCAGCCCUGCACACUCGGGGCUUCAAAGGCCACAGCAAAGGGGAGGCCCAGAAAGAGCUAUUUCAGGCUUCCUAUUUUUAAAGCCGGGGUCAGGGUGCCCUGCUCACCACCAACAUUUCCAGUACUGGAAGCUUCAAAAACUUCAACUCCCUCCAGCCCAGCACCAGAGACAGGCUCUGUGCACAGGGCUGUGCAGUGACCAUGGGCAGCCAGGAGAGAGGCCUCCAGCAUGGGUGGAGGAGGUUUUGGAGUGCCGUGGUGCAAGAAAAGCCAGAGAGGUUGACCACCAUGGGUGGGAUAGAGCCCUGGGUUCAAACCCAGCUUUUUCAUUUUCCACCAGCAUGGCCUUGAGCAAAUCAUCUCCCCCUUUCUGAGCCUCAGGGGCUCCCCUAGAAAAUGGGAAUAAGCCACAGGUGGUCAUAGGUGGAAGCGUGAGGACAUCAGCCAGCAAUCACUUAAUAAAUGCCUCCUGUGAGCCUGUCAUGGUACGCGGUGGUGGUAAUGCAAUUGUGAACAAGAUGUGCUUCACUGAGCUUUCAUUCUAACAGGGAAACCAACAUUAAAGAAAAAUUGAAGGCUGGGGGCCGUGGCUCAUACCUAUAAUCCCAGUGCUUUGGGAGACCGAGACGGGAAGAUUGCUUGAGCUGAGCCCAGGAGUUUGAGACUAGUCUGGGCAACACAGCGAGACCCCACCUCUACAAAAAAUAAAAAUAAAAAAUUAUCCGGGCAUGAUGGUGCACACCUGUAGUCCCAGCUACAUGGGAGGCUGAGCCAGGAGGAUCACCUGAGCUCAGGAGAUCAGGGCUCAGUGAGCUGUGAUGGCACCACUGCUCUCCAACCUGGGCAAGAGUGAGACCCUAUCUCUAAAAAGAAGAAUAUAGUUUGCCUCCUGAAUAUAUAAUAAUGAUGAAUAUAAAGUAUGCCUGGAAGAAAAGGAGGAUUUGGCCAAUAUGUGGACCAAUCUUUUUGACAGAAACUGCUAUCUCAGGAAAUGGCAGCGUGAGCCACCUGGUUGAUGUUUCCUAAUUCCUGGAUUAAUGGAGAGAAAGAAAAUUUAAGCCCAAUCCACUCAAAGUUGCCUUCUUUAGUGAAAAAAAGAAUAACAACUUUAUGAAGAAACAGCAUUAACUAUAAACUGGUCUUGGAAAAGGAACAUAUCACCCACCUAUUUUCAUGAAAGAUGCAGAAAGGCGAACAGUUUAAAGAAAUACAAAACCCAAAGGCAAUGGUAGCCAAGUGCAAUGGCUCACACCCAUAAUCCCAGCACUUUGGGAGGCUGAGACAGGAGGAUCACUUGAGCCCAGGAGUUCAAGAUCAGCCUGGACAACAUAGCAAGACCCUAUCUUGGCAAAGCAAUGGUUCUCAAACUUGGGUUUACAGUUGGGACACCCCUCCCUCCCAAAUUGUGAUUCAGUAGGUCUAGGGUAGGACUGAGAACUUGCAUUUCUUUUUAUUUAUUUAUUGAGACCCGUUCUCACUCUUUUGCCCAGGCUGGAGUGCAAUGGCGUGAUCAUAGCUCACUGCAGCCUUGAACUCCUAGGCUCAAGUGAUCCUCCCACCUCAGCCUCCUGAGUAGCUAGGACUACAGUUGUGCACCACCAUGCCCAGCUAAUUUUUUAUUUUUUAUAGAGAUGGGGUCUUACCAUGUUGUCCUGGCUGGUCUCGAAUUCCCGGCCUCAAGCGAUCCUCCCACCUCAGUUUCCCAAAGUGUUGGGAUUAUAGGCCUGAACCAAGGCUCCUGAUCGGAACUUGCAUUUCUAACAAGACCCCAGGUGAUGCCAGUGAUGCUGGUUUGUGGUUCACACACUGAGAACCGCGGCUUCAGGGAAGCUGGGAAUACCUUUGGAGAUUCACUAAUAUGAGCCCUGCUUCACUGAGUCUCUUUUCUCACAAGGGGAGACAGGAAGCCCUCGACAGCCUCUUAGGGGCAGAAGGGUCUGGUUUUCAGCUUCGUGCUGGGAGGAGCUUGGGGCAGCCUCUGAGCUCCUUCCCAUCCACAUCCCCAGCCAGCUGCUUCAUCACUUGGGAGGUGAUGGUCAACCUGCCCAGCACCUCAGUCCCACCUUGAUAGAAACCAAUUCCAUUGCUGUAGCAGAAGAUGGGUGGAGUGGAAAUCCAUAUUCCAGGGGAUUCUGAGGCAGGCAUCCCAUCCUGAGCACGCAUGGUUCUCCCCACUGGUUGAGAUCUUAUCUGAGAGAGAGAACGUGCUCCUCUCCACCUGUGUUUUUUUAAAACCCCACCACUCCGCUCACCUGGGUUGUCUUUGCUUUGAAGACUCACCCCUAGUGGUUUUCUUAUUUCAGCCCAGGGUGCACCAAAAAAGCAAGAAAAGUUUUGUUCCUCCCAUGUCAAGGUCCUGAGACUCACUCCACAGAAUGAUCCUGUUUUCCAGAAAAACUUGAAACACCCCAGAGGCCAGCGAUGGCCAAGGAAGUGCAGAAAACCCCUCUCCUAGGGCUGAUGACUGUGUUUUCAGCUUCUCCCGAGAUCAGUGACUGCAUCUCCACUUCUACUUUCCAAGGCCUCCCCACGGGUGGGGCAUUUUUUAGAGUCACUGCCAGUCAGGAGUGAGAGGGACAGAACACAGCACCCUUCGAGGACUCAUGAUGAUGAAAAGAGAAACUUCCUGGAAAUUAAAAAAAAAAUACAGAAAAGCACAAAGCAAAUGGCAACAAUUGCCUAAAUGGCCCAUACCACAAACUCAACAUUUUUUAAUAAUCUGGCAUGUUUUCCAGUCUUUUCUAUGUGCAUACUUCAAAAAAGUUAUGUAACUCAUGUAUCAAAAUCAUUAGCAUUUCGUUUAAAAAAGAAAAUUGGAUAGCAGCUAUGUUAAAUCUUUCUGAAAAAACAAACAUUACGUUGAUUUAUGUCUAUUGCUGGAUAAGCUGAAGGAAAGGUCAGCAAGCCAUGGCUUGUAGGACAAACCUGGCCGAUACUUCAUUUUAUACAACCCAUAAAAUACAAAUAGUUUUUACAUUUUUAAAUGGUUGGGGAAAAAUCAAAGGAAGAAACUCAUGUGUUCUCACUCAUAUGUGGGAGUUUAAAAAGUGGAUCUCAUGGAGGUAGAGAGUAGAUUGGUGAUUACCAGAGGCUGGGAAGGGAAGGUGGGGAGGGAAGGAUGAAAGAGAAGUUGGAUAAUGGUACAGAAAUACACUUAGAUAGAAGAAAUAAGUUCUUGUAUUCAGGCCGGGCACUGUGGCUGAUGCCUGUAAUCUCAGCACUUUGGGAGGCAGGGGCAGGUGGAUCGCUUGAGCUCAGGAGUUUGAGACCAGCCUGGGCAAUAUGGCAAGAUGCUG
rnacentral:lncRNA from 10 species